GUAUUAAAAUUUUAUUAAUAAUUUAUUUGUAUGUGAAUUUUAAAAAAAUAUUUUUAUUUAAUUAGUAAUUUAGAAAGAAUUAUUUUUAUUAUAGUUGAAUUGUAUUGUGAAAGAAAAUUUAAUUUUUUUAAAAGAAAAAUUUAUUUUUUGUACCUUGUGUAUCAGGGUUGAUUAAUUUUUUAAUAAAAAUUUAUUUAUCUCGAAUUUUAAAGAGUUAAUUUUAUAUUUUUUUAGUGUUUUAUAACUAUUGUAAAUAUAGAGUUAGAAAUGAAACGUUAUUCGUUUUUUAAUAUAUCUAGUUGUUAAGGAAAUAAAUUAAAUUUAUUAGUUUUUAAAAUUUGGUUAAUUAUUUAAUUUUAUUUUUGAAAAUUAUCAAUGUUGUUAGGGAUAAGCUUGAUAACAUAGAUUUAUUUGAUUAUAAUUUAAGAUUUAUUUAUAGGAUUGAAAUUGUUCUUUAUUAGUAAAAUUUUAUAAUUGUUUUAUUUUUGAAUAAGAUUUUUAUGAUCAAUAAUUUUUAUACUUAAUUGUAUUAUUUAAUAUUAUUUUAUUAGAAAUAAUGAUUAAAUUAGUAUAUUAAAUUGUUUAAAUAAUAGUUUUUUAUAGACAUAAUUAAGGAAUUCGGCAAAAUUUAGAUUUUCACCUGUUUAUUAAAAACAUGGCUUUUUGUGUAUAAUAUAAAGUCAGGCCUGCUCAAUGAUUAAUUAAAUGGCCGCAGUAUUUUGACUGUGCUAAGGUAGCAUAAUCAUUAGUUUCUUAAUUAGAAGCUGGAAUGAAUGGUUUUAUGAAAAAUCUACUGUCUCUGUUAUGAAUAUAGAAUUUUAUAUUUAAGUUAGAAAGCUUAAAUUUUUUUAAAAGACGAGAAGACCCUAUAGAGUUUUAUAAUUAUUCUAAAUUUAAUUAAUUUAGUUUUAAAUUUGUAUUGUUUAGUUUAUAUAUUUAAUUGGGGUGAUUAAAAAAUAUAAUAAACUUUUUUUUAUUUUACUUUUAUAAUAGGUUAGUUUGAUCCAAUAGUUUUGAUUAAAAGAAUAAAUUACCUUAGGGAUAACAGCGUAAUUUUUUUUGAGAGUUCUAAUCGAUAAAAAAGGUUGCGACCUCGAUGUUGGAUUAAAAUUAACUUUUGGGCGCAAAAGUCAUAAGGUUGGGUCUGUUCGACCUUUAAAAUUUUACAUGAUCUGAGUUUAAACCGGCGUGAGCCAGGUUGGUUUCUAUCUUUAAUAGUAGAAAGGAUUUUAGUACGAAAGGACCAAAUUCUUAGUUGAAAACUUUUCGUUGAAUUUUAUU
rnacentral:rRNA from 1 species